AGCAGCCGCGGUAAUUCCAGCUCCAAUAGCGUAUAUUAAAGUUGUUGCAGUUAAAAAGCUCGUAGUUGAAUUUCGGGGUCAGUAGGAUGGUCGUGCCAAUGGUAUGUACUGGCUUUACUGAUUCCUCCUUCUUGAAGAACUGUAAUGCCAUUAAUUUGGUGUUGCAGGGAAUCAGGACUGUUACUUUGAAAAAUUAGAGUGUUUAAAGCAGGCUUACGCUUGAAUACAUUAGCAUGGAAUAAUGAAAUAGGACGUUGAUCUUAUUUUGUUGGUUUCUAGGAUUGACGUAAUGAUUAAUAGGGAUAGUUGGGGGCAUUAGUAUUCAAUUGUCAGAGGUGAAAUUCUUGGAUUUAUUGAAGACUAACUACUGCGAAAGCAUUUGCCAAGGAUGUUUUCAUUAAUCAAGAACGAAAGUUAGGGGAUCGAAGACGAUCAGAUACCGUCGUAGUCUUAACCAUAAACUGUGCCGACUAGGGAUCGGAUGAUGUUAAUUUUUUAAUGA
rnacentral:rRNA from 1 species